ACCUCCUACGGGAGGCAGCAGUGGGGAAUAUUGCACAAUGGGGGAAACCCUGAUGCAGCCAUGCCGCGUGUGUGAAGAAGGCCUUCGGGUUGUAAAGCACUUUCAGUAGGGAGGAAGGUAGUGUAGUUAACCACUUGCUACUAUUUUGACGUUACCUACAGAAGAAGCACCGGCUAACUCCGUGCCAGCAGCCGCGGUAAUACGGAGGGUGCGAGCGUUAAUCGGAAUUACUGGGCGUAAAGCGCAUGCAGGCGGCCUGUUAAGUCAGAUGUGAAAGCCCGGGGCUUAACCUCGGAAUUGCAUUUGAAACUGGCAGGCUAGAGUCUUGUAGAGGGGGGUAGAAUUUCAGGUGUAGCGGUGAAAUGCGUCAGAGAU
rnacentral:rRNA from 1 species